AUAUAUACGUAUAUAUGUACAGACUGAAUUUGUAUAUCUCGUUGAUUUAAACUCUCAGUCUGCAGCUGAAGUGACUCCUGAUCCUGAACCAGACUCCACUCCUGCUGCUCCUGCUGCUGAGGAAGAGGUGGAGGAAGAGGAAGUGGAGGAAGAGGAGGUGGAGGUGGAGGAGGAGUGUGUUAGCGCUCUGCAGCUUGUAGAAGAUUACGGCUGUGAGGCGGAGGAGGAGGAAGUCUUUUAGCUCCGCCCUGCUGACCUUUGACCUCCAGUGAAGAAACUCUCCGUCCGCUCAGACUGAGGCAGGUCCACUACGACGGAUCAAUGUUACAGAAAUCAACAACCAAUAUCAGCGAUCAGUUACACCAAGUUAGAUAAUCACUGAUCAGUAAAUAUCACUGCACUCUGAUGCUUUUUAUUGGAAUUGAUCGCUGAUCGUCUGAAUUGAUUCGGAACAUCGAGCGUCUGGUGUUCAGAUUGUAAAAAGUCGCUGUUAGACGUGUUUUUUAUAUCAAUCGAUUGUAAAUAGGAAGAUUCACAUUCCUGUAAAAUAUCAACAUGACUCAGAUGUUUUACUUUGUGUACUUUGAAAUCAAUGUGUACUUCGUGUACUUUUAAUGUGACUUUGUGUGUUUGUUGUUCCUGAUAAAAUGUAAAGAGACAAAAGAUAAUAAUGAGAAAACAACAUUCCCUGAGACAAAGAAAAACAGGAAGUCAGUCUUUGUCAGAAAGUUUUUCACUUUUCAUCACAAACAUCUGGAAACAAAUAUUUUAUUUAUUCCAUUUUUAUCAGCUGACCUCAAAAAUAAAGUAAUGAAACUUA